CCUUGCUCCCUCGCUCCCCUGCCCCCUCCUCGCUCCCUCGCUCCCCUGCCCCUCCUCGUUCCCUCGCUCUCUCCCUCCCGCUCCCCUCCCCGCUCCCCCUCACUCUGAUUUUUAAGCUCCUGCCCUGUGUCUAACAGGCAAGUUGUGGGAACCCAAGCAAAAUGGCCUGCCAGAUCACGGUUCAGGCUGGGCUGUUUCAUCACCUGAAAGCAAAAGACAAAUAUUUCUGACAUCUGCCUGUAGACCCUUUCAAAAUGGCAGCAGCUGCAUUGCUGACAUGGGUGGGAGUCUGAUCCACUCUUUUGGAGGCCCCUGUCUUAUGAUCACCAGGUUAGGUCAGUAAACUUUGAUCCUGCUUAGCGUUAUCACAAAGGCCUUGUAUCAUCAAGCCUCCUUUAAACACGCACUUUAUUAAAAAUGUGGAUUGACAAACCCAGUAUUGAGGUAUUACAACAGACAGAGGCUGCACUGAGCUGACUGUAUUGCAGAUUCCUCAUUAGUAUCUCGUUUCAGCUGAUGAUCUGUAAUGUAACAGUGUUAGUGUCCUCAUGUCCACAAGAAUACACACAGUUAAGCAAAGAUGGAGUUUUGCAGGCUGUGUUGACCUGCCUGUACUUUAGGAUUCUUCCUGUGCAGACAGGCAGUUCAAAUGUGGAAGGUCUCACAUUGACUCUGGUACUGCUAUUGACAGACACCUACUUCCCAGUAGAUGUGUUGGUGACAUGAAAUAUAACUGCGUAGUAGUUGCUCAUUAGAUUCCACCCGCCCCCACCUUCUGUUGCUUCAGUAACUGUUGAAACCAGUUGCAGUCUUCUUUUCACUUGGAUCUGGGCCUCCCAUGAUCACAGAACAUGGUGUUGCAAACAAAAAAAAACCUGCUACACUUUACAUGCAGUACGUUUUAAUUGGGGAAUGUAAAACUUGGUUUUCUUUGACGUGAAAAUUUUAACACUGUCAAACAUUCCACCUGACCUCUACUCGCCUCGACCUGCCCCUCGGAGACCGGCAGUAAAAGAGGCACGAGGAAAAGAAUUUCUUCCCCUGAAUACCAAAAAACUGCUGCCUUAAUCCCUCUGAUUAGACACACCCACACCCCAAAACAAGUUUCUGAAUUCUCUUGCAGUUUUCUCCUGGACUUUUUUCUCAGUUUCUCAAAAUCCAUGAUUUUGAAUCUUGGGAGUCCCUAUUAUUUUCUUCUGGUUUAUUACAAACAAGGAUUGGUAACACAAUCUUCGUUUGAACUUAAGACUAAAAUAUAUUUAUUGGCAGCUGGGAAGCUCUGUAGAUCCGUAUGACUGAUGCAGUGUUCAGAGUACAGAGUAGGCUGCUUGUUAAAUGCAUUCUGUGUGGGGUAGGGGAGGCAGAAGUGCUGGUCAGCUAUUUAUGAAAUGUCCCUUAAAGUCACAAGUAAAUUACAUCACAGCAUCUCCCUUUCCUCAGGUUUAAACAUUUAAAAAAGUAAAGACGUAAAAAGAAAAUUACUUUGUGUUUCGAAUAUAUCAAAGCAAUAAAUUUGGAUAUCUAAAGCAUAUCAGUAGUUUACUAAUAUGCCCAGACUUAGUUUAUGGUAAUUUUGGUUUAAGACUGUGGAAUGCUUUUAGAAUACUGGUUGUUAAGCUUGCUUUUAUCUUAGACAUUUUUUUAAAAUUUGCGAUCUGGUUAUGUUGUUCCUGGUUAGAUUUAUUGGUCUGAUUUUUGGGGCCUCUUUCCAUCUCCCUGUUAUGACACUUGGUGUAUUCUCUGAUCUAGGUAUGUAUCAACAAUUUCUGGGGAUUGUACAUGCUAUCAAUGUUAUACGUGGACGUUUUACAUCCUCUGGUCUUAGACUCUUCCACAAGUGGGAAACAACCCUGUCAAGUUUCAUUAGAAUCUUCUGUUUCAAAAAGGUUGCCUCUGAAUUUUUUUUCUAACCUCCAAUGAAUGCAAGCAUAACCUGCUCAAUGUCUCCUCAUAAGAAUAUCCAGAAUCAGCUUAGUUAAACUUUCUCUAGACUCCCUCCAAUGCCAGUAUAUCUUUCCUUUGAUAAGGGCCCUAAAAUAAUUCAGUGUAUUCCAGCUGUAGUCUGACCAGUGCCUUGUGUAGUUUUCGUAAGACCUUCCUAUUUUUAUGCUAUAUUUCCUUUGACGUGAAGGCCAGCAAUCCAUUUGCCUUCCGUGUCACUUGCUGAGCUUGUAUCACAAAAUGCUAACUUGCAUGCAGAAAGACACCAAAUCCUUCUAUUCUGUAGCUGAAGUCACCUUUUAAAUAGUAUUCAGCACCUCUGCUUUGUGCCAAGGUGCAUAACCCCUCCAUGUUUAUCUACUUUACAUUCCAUUUGCCAAGGUUUUGCCUGUUCACUUAACCUGUUUAUACCCCUCCUGAAGUUUGCCCAAUCUCCCUUUGUAACUGAAACUCUCCAGCCCAGGCAAUGACAUGGUAAAUCUCCUCUUCAUCCUCCAGUGUUAUUACAUAGCCUGCCUGCCGCUGCCCCACCGUGUGGAUUCUGGAAUUGCAUACAUUACUGUAGCUGUCGCUUAACCAAUGUUUUAUGCAGUUCUAGCAAUAGCCUCCCUCCCUUUUUAAACUCUCUGUCUCGAUCAAUAAAGUAUCCCAUAGGCCUCCUUAACCACUUUAACCUCCUGUCCUGCUGCCUUAAGUGACUGGUGUACAUGCACCCCAAGGUCUCUCUGAUUCUUUGGUGUUUCCCAGCAUCCUAUAAUUCUUCUUGUAUUCUCUUGUUUGUUAUCUGACCAGAUCCAUUGAUUCCACUUUAUUCGCCCUGUUUGCUAUUUACUCAGAAAAUUGUAACACGCCAAACAGUGUUUCUUUCAUGAAUCCAUGUUGACUAUGCUUGAUCUUAUGUAUUUCUAAAUACUCUACCAAUACAUCUUUUCAUCAUCGGCUUUAACAUUUCAAUGACCGAUGUUAAGCCAAUGGGCAUAUAGUUAAAUGUUUUUAUGUCAUCUUCCUUUUAAAAUAAUGGUGUUACAUUGUCAGUCUUCCAAUCUUUCAGAAUUCUGCAAUUCCUUUAGAAUCCAAGGAUUUUUGGAAGUUUAUGACCAGUGCGCGCACAGUCUCUGUAGCUACCUUCUAUUAGUUCUCGGAUGGAUCCCUAGUACUCUUUCUCUCGUGGCAGUAAUUGUGUUUAUUUCUACCUCCACCUUUUUAGCCCCUUGAUGAUUUUAGUUUUUUUUAGAAUUCAGUCAAUGUCAUCUGAUGUGACGAUUGAUGCAAAGUGUCCCCUCAGCUCUGUUGCCACUUUUAAAGUUGUCCAUUAUUAUUUUCCCAGCUGUGUCCAAAGAGUGACCAAUGUUUAAUUUGGUAUCACUUCCCUUGUAUAUAGUUGACUUUCUAAAUAGUAUUUACAUGUUUUAUUUUCACUUUUUGUGGUCAUCUUUUGAAACUACCAAGUCCCCUGGCUUACCAGUAAUCCUUGCCACAUAAUGUUUAGUCUUUUCAAUUUGACUCUACCCUUGGUUGGUUUAUCCCAUAGAUCUUUCUUCCUUACUGGUUUUUUAAAAUUUAUUCACUCAGGAUUUAGGUGGCUCUGGCUGGGCAGCGUUUAUUGCCGAUCCCUAAUUGCCCGGAGGGCAGUUAAGAGGCAACUGCAUUGCUCUGGGUUUGGAGUCCCAGACAGGCCAGAUCUGGUAAGGAUGACAGAUUUUCUUCCUUAGAUGGGUUUUUCCAACAAUUGACAACGGCUGUCAUUAGACCCCUUUUUAAUGCCAGAUUUAAGAAAAAAUUGAAUUCAAAUUCCACCUGCUGCUGUGGUGGGGUUUGAACUGAGGUUCCCAAAACAUUAGCUGAGUUUCUGGGUCAAUACUGCAGCAAUAAUACCACUAGGCCACUGCCUCCCACAUAUGACUCAGUCAAAUUUUAUGGGAUUAUAACAUUUUCUUGAACAUCUGCUGUUGUUCUUUUAACUGCAUUUCUUGGUAAACUCCUUUCCCAGUCCACUCCAGCCAACUCUGCCUCACCCCUGUACAAGUAUCCCUGUAUAACCUACUAAGUUUAGCACAGUUGUUUUUGGAUCUCUUGCAUACAUUCUAUGAAUUCUUCCCUAGGGCUCCCUCUAGAAAAAUGAAAUUGGAAAUGUACAUGAAGAUUAAAGCCACUCCUGCUUAAUGAACUGCCUUUUACACAUGCUGUCAUUUGUCUCUUAAUCUAUUCUCCUAUCCGACAGAACAGCUACAGUGAGGGAUACUGUAUACUACUGCCUAACAGUGCCGCCUUCCCCUUGUUAUUUCUUACCUCCACCUAUAUGAAUGUCACAUCAUCUGAUCCUAAUCAUUUCUUGAUAUCAUGCUUAUUGUACCUUGAAUGAAUAAAGCUGUGAAUAAAGCACCCUUUGCUUCCUGUCUGUCCUUUUGAAUAGUAGCUAUACCUCAAUAUUUACGUCCCAGCUUCGAUCUCCUUGUAACUAUAUCUCAGAACUGGCUGUAAACUCAUAUACAUUAAUCUUAUUUGUAGUGUUAAUUCAUUAAUCUUGUUCCCAUUUACUGUGUUCAUUUAAACAAAUAGCCAUCAAUUAUGCCUUUUAAUCAGUUCCCCCUUGGACUGUAUUUGCUGCUGCAACACUGCCCAUUCUUGUAUAAUUAUAAAAAUAGCUGUCUGGCAGUGCCACCAUAUCUUCCAAGAUGUACUUCUCUUCUGAAUAUACUUCCUAUAAUUUUUUUUUUUAAAGUCUUUUUCUACAGAUCUAAUUAUUCAAGUCACCAGGAUGCUGGGCUGGGUUCAGCCUGAACUUUGGAAACUGCUGUCUUGGACUAAACUGUUCCUAUUCUGACUCUCUGUUGUUUGCUCUGCAUCUGCCUUAUGGAAAACAUGACUUGCCUAUCUCUCAGGUGUUCAAAAUAAACCUUGCAUUUACAUUGGUGUGCAAAAUACUGGUCUUUCUGUCUGUACGUGAGAGCUGAGUUAUUCUGUUCUUUCUUCUCGCUGUCAACAGCUUGUGGCAAUUGAUAUCAAAUGUUACAUCAUUUUGUAUAUCAUCCCUUGUAACUUUUGUGGGGCAGUGAUGGUGUCCCUAGAUCUGAGCCAGGAAGCCCAGGUUUUAGUCCCACCUGCUUCAGAGGUGUGUAAUAACAAGAGUCUGUUUCUGUGUUGUAUGAGCCUCAAAUCCAUGCAGGACAAAACCCUAAACUAAACUAGUCUCAAUUGCCUGCUCCUGGCCCAUGCCCCUACAAACCUUUCCCACUCAUCUACUUAUUUGAGUGUCUUUUAAAUGUUGUAACUGUGCCAGCAUCCACCACUUCUUCAGGAAGUCCAUUGCACAUGCAAGCCACCCUCUGUGUGACAAGGUUGCCCUUGUUUUUUUGUUUUUAAAUCUCUCUCCUCUCCCCUUAAAAAUAUGCCGCCUAGUCUUGAACUCCCCAUCCUAGGAAAAAGACACCUGCCAUUAACCUUAUUUAUACCCAUCAUGAGAUUGGGGGCACAAACUGUCUCCGGUUCUACUAUUCCACUGGGCAGAGGAUAAAAUUGAAAUUUUCACCUAGUUACCAAAUUUGCCAAUUAUAUACUUUGAGAUUAAUUUCAGUAUAUGAGAAGAAAUGUUUCAAUCAGGCUCCCCUAAUAAACAAUCAAAUGUUCAAUUUGUUGUUCAAAUGAUUUACUCAACAAAGGUGCCUAGCUGAGUAAUAGUUUUAAAUAUGUAAGUAUAAAUAUUAACCCAUCAGUAAUUUAUCACUGAAGCAUACUUGUUAAAAAUGCGGGGGUGGGGGGGGGAAAUCAAUUUAUUUUAAGAAAACUUUAUCAAUAGCUCUAUCUGCUUGCCCCUGAUCCAAGAUGGGACCUGACCUUGCUUAGCCUGCUUGAGGUUCUCCUUCAACUGUUUGAUCAUCUAGUGGCCAGGGAUGGUCUACAGCUUCCUUUUCUGCUGCUGACUGUCAUCGUUUAUUUUGCCAUAGAUGGUUAUAUUUAUUGUGUCGGUGUGUCUUUCUAGCAUUGUUACCAAAUGUUAGCUAACCUGAUCCUCCUCUAAUUUCCCCUUCAGUAUCUUACCAAUUGUAGGUAUUGAUUUUAUCUAAGGUCUGUUUGACUUUUAGGAGUGAUACCAUGAGUUUAUUGUCCAAAUUAUCCAAAUCAAGGUCAUUGACUGUGGACUCUCCUGCUCUGUUAACUGUUGCCAAAUCAUUAAUUAUGUCUGUUUUACUGUGUUUCAGUUGCCUGGGUUGGGCCUUAAACAUAUCAAGCCUGUUGUCCAUCCCUGUUGGACCUGUUAAAUGUAGGCCUUGAGGUGGGAUUGGCACCACUCUGGCAGCUUAGUUCUGGAUAUGUCUGACACCACAGACAUGGGACCCACAAUUACUGCAACUAUUUCCUGGGUGAGGAUACCAGUUUGUUAAAAUUCUGGACUGGGCUGCCCGAAAUGUUUACUAUGGCAAGAUCUCAGGACUUGAAAUCAGCCUGGGCAACAUGUGAAAAGUCAGACCCAAUGGAACUUUUAGGAAAGGUCAAGAACAAUGCAUCUAUGCAAGACAAAAGCAGGCAAGUACAAUGCUGGACUUGCUGUGGGAAGUGAGGCUAAUUUGUGUAUUGGAGUACAGGGAGCAGACUUGCUUGCAAGCCACAUUUCUACCAUGACCAUGUAUGGGGAAGGGCACAUCCCCUUGACACAUCAGACAAUGGUGGCUGAGGAUGCUCCUGGUAUCUUCCAUGCAAGACCUUAGGAUCCUAGUGGGCGCCCUGACCUUGACCUGGAAGAUCAAUUGGCAGAGAACAUUAUGGAAGGAUACAGCAUGGAGGAAUAAGAACGGGCACCCGGUAGCCAUUCCUUCAGCAAAGACUUGUCCUCGCCCAGUACCAACCACCUGGAGAAAGAGAGGGAAGAUGAACAAGUGUGAGAACAACCUCCACCAAGUUCAUCAGAGCACAGCCUGGCCAGAGUUAACUGCAUGGGGAGUAUUUGGUAGCUAGUAAUAGUUUCGGUAAGGAUUACAACAAAGGCUUAACAUUAUGAUUGGCAGAGUAAUUAACAAAGAACUGAGUUUUAUAGCGAAAGAACAGGGUUG